GACGAACGCUGGCGGCGUGCCUAAUACAUGCAAGUCGAACGCAGUGGGGACGGGUGAGUAACACGUGGGUAACCUCCCAUCAGAGGGGAUAACACUUGGAAACAGGUGCUAAACCGAUACUGAUGGAUGAACCCGCGGUGCAUUAGCUAGUGGGUGAGGUAACGGCUCACCAAGGCCACGAUGCAUAGCCGGCCUGAGAGGGUGACCAGCCACACGGGAACUGAGACACGGCCCAGACUCCUACGGGAGGCAGCAGUAGGGAAUAUUCGGCAAUGGACGAAAGGCUGACGGAGCAACGCCGCGUGAAUGAAGAAGGUUUUCGGGUCGUAAAGUACUGUUAUUGGAGAGGCGGUAUCCAACCAGAAAGCAACGGCUAACUACGUGCCAGCAGCCGCGGUAAUAC
rnacentral:rRNA from 1 species